UCUGUCGAAGAUAUCCUUGUACGGAAGCUGAUCUGAUACCAUGAAAUGAUAUCAAAUCAGUUGUAUUUUCAACUUGGAAUUCAAAAAAAGGUAACAUCUCGGAGGAAAAUGCUUUGAAUAAAUAAAGAUCGACAUGACUUUUACAUUCUCAAAUAUUGCCACAUUAUAACCUGAA